rnacentral:rRNA from 1 species
CAGUAGCCACGGGAAUACGUAGGGUGCGAACGUUAAUCGGAAUUACUGGGCGUAAAGCGUGCGCAGGCGGUUGUGUAAGACAGGUGUGAAAUCCCCGGGCUUAGCCUGGGAACUGCGCUUGUGACUGCACAGCUAGGGUAUGGCAGAGGGGGGUGGAAUUCCACGUGUAGCAGUGAAAUGCGUAGAGAUGUGGAGGAACACCGAUGGCGAAGGCAGCCCCCUGGGCCAAUACUGACGCUCAUGCACGAAAGCGUGGGGAGCAAACAGGAUUAGAUACCCCCGUAGUCCCUGUCUCUUAUAC